AGUUUUGUGUAGUUGGCAGUAUUUGUAGCCAAUGAGGUCUAUCCAAGGUGCAACUAUUGCUAAUCAAAAACUUUUCCCAAUACCUCUCCCUUAUGACUCGAAAUAUAGUCAGCAAUGGCAAUUUUUGACAGUUUCUAUGGAGA
rnacentral:snRNA from 1 species